UUUCAUUGGGUCCAUAUGCAAAUUUUUUUUAAUGCAUUAUAGAUGAUUAAAAAAAUAUUAUGUGGCCCUUAUUAACAAAAAAAAAAAGAAAUUGAAGCUUUUUUGUCAUUAAAUUUGAUAGGUUUUAAGGUGGACUCUAGGCGAAUGCACUACUAGCCCUCUGCCUCCUGAGCCGGCGCGUCUGUAAGUAGCAUUUUCAGACGGCUCCUUAACGUAGUAUGUAUGUGCAUCCAAGAAACUAGAUCAAUACAUUUUACUGAGCUAAAUGUCGAACCGUCAAUCAAACUUAGCCAAAACUCUAUCCAUUCAACUUUGAAAGCAAAAACAUACAUGCACU
rnacentral:lncRNA from 1 species